GUGCCAGCCGCCGCGGUAAUACGUAGGUGGCAAGCGUUGUCCGGAAUUAUUGGGCGUAAAGCGCGCGCAGGCGGGCUGUUAAGUCUGGUGUGAAAGUGAGGGGCUCAACCCCGCAAGGGCACUAGAAACUGGCAGUCUUGAGGGCAGGAGAGGAAAGUGGAAUUCCCAGUGUAGCGGUGAAAUGCGUAGAUAUUGGGAAGAACACCAGUGGCGAAGGCGGCUUUCUGGACUGCAACUGACGCUGAGGCGCGAAAGCUAGGGGAGAGAACAGGAUUAGAUACCCUGGUAUUCCUAGCCGUAAACGAUGGGCACUAGGUGUGGGAGGUAUCGACCCCUUCCGUGCCGGAGUUAACGCAAUAAGUGCCCCGCCUGGGGAGUACGGCCGCAAGGUUGAAACUCAAAUGAAUUGACGG
rnacentral:rRNA from 1 species